rnacentral:rRNA from 1 species
UGGCUCAGGAUGAACGCUGGCGGCGUGCCUAAUACAUGCAAGUCGAGCGAACAGAUAAGGAGCUUGCUCCUUUGACGUUAGCGGCGGACGGGUGAGUAACACGUGGAUAACCUACCUAUAAGACUGGGAUAACUUCGGGAAACCGGAGCUAAUACCGGAUAACAUAUUGAACCGCAUGGUUCAAUAGUGAAAGGCGGCUUUGCUGUCACUUAUAGAUGGAUCCGCGCCGUAUUAGCUAGUUGGUAAGGUAACGGCUUACCAAGGCAACGAUACGUAGCCGACCUGAGAGGGUGAUCGGCCACACUGGAACUGAGACACGGUCCAGACUCCUACGGGAGGCAGCAGUAGGGAAUCUUCCGCAAUGGGCGAAAGCCUGACGGAGCAACGCCGCGUGAGUGAUGAAGGUCUUCGGAUCGUAAAACUCUGUUAUCAGGGAAGAACAAAUGUGUAAGUAACUGUGCACAUCUUGACGGUACCUGAUCAGAAAGCCACGGCUAACUACGUGCCAGCAGCCGCGGUAAUACGUAGGUGGCAAGCGUUAUCCGGAAUUAUUGGGCGUAAAGCGCGCGUAGGCGGUUUUUUAAGUCUGAUGUGAAAGCCCACGGCUCAACCGUGGAGGGUCAUUGGAAACUGGAAAACUUGAGUGCAGAAGAGGAAAGUGGAAUUCCAUGUGUAGCGGUGAAAUGCGCAGAGAUAUGGAGGAACACCAGUGGCGAAGGCGACUUUCUGGUCUGUAACUGACGCUGAUGUGCGAAAGCGUGGGGAUCAAACAGGAUUAGAUACCCUGGUAGUCCACGCCGUAAACGAUGAGUGCUAAGUGUUAGGGGGUUUCCGCCCCUUAGUGCUGCAGCUAACGCAUUAAGCACUCCGCCUGGGGAGUACGACCGCAAGGUUGAAACUCAAAGGAAUUGACGGGGACCCGCACGAGCGGUGGAGCAUGUGGUUUAAUUCGAAGCAACGCGAAGAACCUUACCAAAUCUUGACAUCCUUUGACCGCUCUAGAGAUAGAGUCUUCCCCUUCGGGGGACAAAGUGACAGGUGGUGCAUGGUUGUCGUCAGCUCGUGUC